AAGUCGUAACAAGGUUUCCGUAGGUGAACCUGCGGAAGGAUCAUUAUCGAAAUCGAACCUCGGGGGAAGGGGGGAGGGUCUCCCGAACCCCCUCCGAGGCUUUCAACCCCUUCCAACACCUGUGUGCACCCGCUGUAGGUCCCUCUGGGGGGACCUAUGUCUUCCCUCCCACUCGCAUGUCUACAGAAUGUCUUCCGUGGCGUCGGGCCACCGUAAACCGUAAUACAACUUUCAGCAACGGAUCUCUUGGCUCUC
rnacentral:misc_RNA from 1 species